UGCGUGCGAAGACGUCUUUCUCAGCGUGAC
rnacentral:piRNA from 1 species